rnacentral:rRNA from 1 species
GAUGAACGCUAGCGACAGGCCUAACACAUGCAAGUCGAGGGGCAUCGGGGUGUAGCAAUACGCUGCCGGCGACCGGCGGAUGGGUGAGUAACGCGUAUGCAACCUGCCUUCAGCAGGGGGAUAGCCCGUUGAAAGACGGAUUAAUACCCCAUAACACAGGGGCUCCGCAUGGAGAUUAUUGUUAAAGGGAUGCUUCCUUCGGGGAGUAUUCCGGCUGCAGAUGGGCAUGCGUUCCAUUAGGUAGUUGGUUGAGGUAACGGCUCACCAAGCCUACGAUGGAUAGGGGAACUGAGAGGUUGGUCCCCCACACUGGUACUGAGACACGGACCAGACUCCUACGGGAGGCAGCAGUGAGGAAUCUUGGUCAAUGGACGGAAGUCUGAACCAGCCAUGUCGCGUGAAGGAGGACGGCCCUAAGGGUUGUAAACUUCUUUUGCAGGGGAAUAAAGUAUUCCACGAGAUGGGAUAUUGCAAGUACGCUGCGAAUAAGGAUCGGCUAACUCCG